rnacentral:ribozyme from 1 species
UUAAAUUUCUCUUCUGGUCUGCAGAGAAAAAAAUCAUCAUCAUCUGAUUCCUCCGACUCUGACUCUUCUUCGGGGGACUCUGACGCUAGCGAAGGUCGGCCCCUUUUCUG